GGGGUUACAGGUAUGGGCCAGUAUGUCUGGCUCUUCAGUGGCUUCU
rnacentral:miRNA from 1 species